rnacentral:lncRNA from 1 species
UCACAAUGUUGCCUCUGUGAUGCGGGUUAUUUGUUUCCUUUUGUCUAACAAUUUAGGCAUGUGAAUACUGAUGUCUAUGUUUGAGUUACAUUGUUGCUGAGAUGUUUUAUUGGAUUUAUCCUUGUUGAGUUCCAUAAUGUCGUCAUCAUUACCUGUACUUUGAACUGUAAUAUACUCAACUUUGAAAAUAAUGUAAUACUACUGACUCGAUUUAUGCAGGACCUCUGCAGUUGCUGUUGCCAGAAUACAAGCCAAAAGCUAAAUUUUGCAUCUGUUGGUAAUUUUUGUGUUUAACCCACUAUUGUUUUUUUGAGAUUGUAUAGCGCUUGUUUCCUUUUAUGGGGUAUGGUACUAGGCAAACUGGAAAUUUGUAAAAGAAUAUGGAGAAAGAUUGAGAGGGGUGUCACAUUUCCGACUUGCAUUUCUAUUAAUCACAAUAUUUUCCAUUUUUCAGCAUUGACCUGUGCCGAGUUGGGAUUGGUGGAAGGGUGAAGAUGUAAGCUAUCAUGAGGCUCUAAUAACACAUACAAAGAUAAUAUGUCUGUCAACUAUUCAACUAGAAUGGGCAAUAUAAUGGUUAAAUGUGAUUUAUUAUCUGUGUAUAUGGGUUCAUUGCAUUAGUUCACAUGCAUUUUGUGAUUGACCUAAACAAGAAAUCAUAAACCUUGCUCUUUUCCUUCAAUCUAAUUUGUUUAUUCUGUGGAUAAAGGAAUAUACUAACAACAACAACAACCCAGUAUAAUCCCACUUAAUGGGGUCUGGGAAGGGUAAUAUGUACACAGACCUUACCCCUACCCUUGGGUAGAGAGGCUGUUUCCAA